UCAGUGAGCGCCACAGAGCAUGCGCCGGCCUCUGACGCAUGCCCAGUUGCCUCAGCUGAAGGCACCGGAAGCGCUUCCUUUUGCCCUCACUCGCUGGAGCAAGUGAGAACAAGCCAGGCUGCUAACUUCUUUACUUCUUUAUUUUUUGAAAGGACGCCGGUCUUGUUGCUGUGUCUUGUGGCGCGACAGCCGAAGCCUGUUGCUCCCUUUUUAUCGCUAGGGAAAAGCUGCACAUGUUGCCUCAUAUGCUUGUCUCCACACACAAAUCCCAAGAAAGAAAGAAAGAAAGAAAGAAAGAAAGAAAGAAAAGAGAAAAUACAAAUCCCAGUGGGUCUGAUGAUUAGAGUUUUAUUAAUCACCUGCCGUCUCAAGGGGGUUCACACACAAUAUAGGAUAAUUAAAAACCCGUUUAAAAUGCAAAAAACAUCAACACAUAUGUUUAAAACAGGGCUAAAACCCUAACUAUUGGAUGUUUGCGGUAAAGAUCCAUUUCCCAGCUCGGAAAAAAUUAUUCAGCCUGUUUCCGGAAAGUGCAGAUAUCCAGAUUCUAUCCAGUAUUUUAAAAAUCUCUGCAGUUAACAACAACAACAAUAGAAUUUACAAGCUACCCUCCUCCCAAAGCAGUCCAAGCAGCAAACCUAUCAAUAACCUAUCAAUAACAAAGAUGGCAUCCCCUCGUACAAGAUCUUUAGGGGAGGCUCUUCUCGCGGUCCUGCCACCCUGACAGUCACACUUGGAGGGGAGAUGGGGCAGGGCCUUCUUGGUGGCUGCUCCCAGACUUUGGAACUCUCUGCCUCAAGAAGUUAGACUGGCUCCCUCCUUGCUGUCCUUCUGCCAGCAGGGUUGCCAGGAACAUUAUCUCCCAGCCACCUAAUACCUGGGUGAACAGGGAUGUUUCCAAAUUCCCCAUGAAAAUCGAGAAUGAAAAUGGCAGGCGCACUUCGCUACAGAGGAAAUUCAACGAAUGGGGAACCACCACUGAGAAGGCCCUGUCACAGCUCAACACACCAACCGAUCAGCCUCCUACUGGAGGCAGGAGCACCAAGAAGGCCUCACCUGCUGAUCAUAGGGUCCCUGAUAUUUCAUACUGGGGGGCCAUGAUAGUAAUUCAGUGAGGACCAGCAGCCUGGAAGCCCCAGGGCCAAAUCUGCCCUGCGUGAGGAGUCUUAGUUGCCCUCUCCCACCAUCGGUUGCCCCUGUUGCAGGAAACUCCCCCCCCCCAAAUCAUUCAGUUUGUGCAAACACAACACACACACACACAACAUACGCUACGCUUCUGUUAUAAAUCCAUAGAAAAUCAACCAUACAUCGGAUCUGCACCGUUCCACUUUUAUUUUAUUCCAAUAAGGAAGGACUACAAAAUGGGGAAGGUUUGAUACAGGGCAGCCAUAAUCCCAUGAGCAUACCAGCACAUACACAGGAGCCCUACCCAGUUGGCAUGACAACCUUGAUGGCCCCAGACAGAAGACCAUCAAGGUCACAAAGGACUUGCAUAUGGGAGUGGAUUCAACAUGGACUGGAACAAAGGACAAUCUUCAGAUCUUCCCUCUGGGGGCAGAAAAUUGCCAGCUCCCCUUUGUCCUCUGGAAAUGAACCAGUCAGGUGACAAGAUACUCAGGUUACCUCCACAACUCCUCCCUCAACCCCUCCUUUUUGUGAUGUGUCAAUGAUGUAGUUGUGAUGUAGUUCUAGGGGUGCAGUUUGGGGGAUUAGUAACUAAUAAAAGUUGGGGUCUUCUUUUGUUUGGGGCUUCCAUCUUGUUCCACCUGGUGGCAGGUGGGAGUCCUGUCGCGACAGUCUUCAAUAAAGACCAAGCCUACUGGCUGCUGUUUUGCUCUGGUA